CAGGCUGACCCUCCACGGUUAGAGGAACGCAUGCGCUCUUCGGAGGCCACGGAGCCGCAGAGCAGACCGUGGCCCCAGCUGCAAAGCUGGGAAUGAAAGAACCUUUUCACUCCCUGCUUCCUCCCUCCCCCACGCCAGGCAGGGCACCAGCAGGAGCCCCCUCGGGCCUUCUGGGACACAUUCUUCAGUUCUGGAAGGAAAUUACAAGCGACUGGCCCACAGAGGAUUACUCUUGAAGUAAAGAUAUUAAGACGUGGAUCACCCUGAGGUAAAGCACGUCAACCCAGCGCCUAUGUGUUUUCAUGUCUGGGCACAGAGAUCUUCCGUAAUACCUUGGGUUUGAACACUCCGAACCAGGGCCCAGGCAGUCUUCAUAACUGAGAGAGUUAUGGUUCCAAAUGAAAAUGAAAACUCAGAGCUAACAAGAAAAGCAGUGGUGAAAUCAUAGCAGAAUUUGGAGACAAAUUAUAUUACAUGCCAUCAUAUGACUAAGGUGUCUACUAAUACUGUGAUAGAUCAAUACCUAUUACCCUGAAGACUAUAAAACUACAAUGUCCGAUAAACUCUCCACUGCUAUACUCCUAACAAUUCUAUUAUUUUUUACCUAGUACAGCUUCUGCGAUAGUUUUAAGUGACUAAAUGAAUACAAGUUUUUUUUGUUCUCCCUUAGGCCUUUUGCUCUUUAAAGUCUUAAUAAUUAACAUUGAAGGGGACAAGAUGUUGACUCUUGGGAGAAAAAAAGAUGGGAGUUGAAUGAUCUUGGAAGCAAAUCCAAAGCUGAUUUUAUGUAGAGAAAAAUAGAGUAUUAAAGAAAAAUUCUGCAAUU